rnacentral:rRNA from 1 species
GACGAACGCUGGCGGCGUGCUUAACACAUGCAAGUCGAACGAAGUGGCGAACGGGUGAGUAACGCGUAAUCAACCUGCCCUUCAGAGGGGGACAACAGUUGAAAACGACUGCUAAUACCUCAUACUGAAGGAGGGGAUUGCGUCUGCUUAGCUAGUUGGCGGGGUAACGGCCCACCAAGGCGAUGAUCAGUAGCCGGUCUGAGGGGGUGAACGGCCAAAUUGGGACUGGGACACGGCCCCGACUCCUACGGGAGGCAGCAGGGGGGAAUCUUCCGAAAUGGACGAAAGUCUGACGGCGCAAAGCCGCGUGAGUGAUGACGGCCUUCGGGUUGUAAAGCUCUGUUAAUCGGGACGCGGUACCGGAAUAGAAAGCAACGGCUAACUACGUGCCAGCAGCCGCGGUAAUAC